CUACGGGGGGCUCCAGUGGGGAAUAUUGCACAAUGGGCGCAAGCCUGAUGCAGCAACGCCGCGUGAGGGAUGAAGGCCUUCGGGUUGUAAACCUCUUUUAGCAGGGAAGAAGCGAAAGUGACGGUACCUGCAGAAAAAGCACCGGCUAACUACGUGCCAGCAGCCGCGGUAAUACGUAGGGUGCAAGCGGUUGUCCGGAAUUAUUGGGCGUAAGGAGCUCGUAGGCGGUUUGUCACGUCUGCUGUGAAAAUCCAAGGCUCAACCUUGGACUUGCAGUGGGUACGGGCAGGCUAGAGUGCGGUAGGGGAGAUGGGAAUUCCUGGUGUAGCGGUGGAAUGCGCAGAUAUCAGGAGGAACACCAAUGGCGAAGGCACAUCUCUGGGCCGUAACUGACGCUGAGGAGCGAAAGCGUGGGGAGCGAACAGGAUUAGAUACCCGUGUAGUC
rnacentral:rRNA from 1 species